AUAAAUGAGGGCCGGGAUUGAGGCGACUGGCUGUUGUCCAGUAGGAUAUGAGAGUUCAUUCAUUUA
rnacentral:tRNA from 1 species